rnacentral:tRNA from 1 species
GCGUGGGGGCUGCGUCGGAGGUCCGGGUCCUGCACACGGUCUUGAAAACCGUCGUGGCGCGAGUCACCGUGGGUUCAAAUCCCACACCCACCGCA